rnacentral:misc_RNA from 1 species
GAUGAAGAACGCAGCGAAAUGCGAUAAGUAAUGUGAAUUGCAGAAUUCAGUGAAUCAUCGAAUCUUUGAACGCACCUUGCGCCCUUUGGACAUUCCGAAGGGCAUGCCUGUUUGAGUAUCAUGAACACCUCAACUCUCAUGGCUCGUCUGUGAUGAGCUUGGACUUUGGGGGUCUUGCUGGCCUGUGGUCGGCUCCUCUCAAAUGGAUCAGCUUGCCAGUGUUUGGUGGCAUCACAGGUGUGAUAACUAUCUGCGCUUGUGGUUUUCCAUCAGAUAACCUUCAGUGAUAUGGAGGUUCGCUGGAGCUCACAAAUGUCUCUCCUUAGUGAGGACAGCCCUUUGAACGUUUGAUCUCAAAUCAGGUAGGACUACCCGCUGAACUUAAGCAUAUCAAUAAGCGGAGGA